UAGGGAAUAUUAGUAAUGGGCGCAAGCCUGAACUAGCAACGCCGCGUGUGCGAAGAAGGCCUUCGGGUUGUAAAGCACUUUUAGAGAGGAUGAGGAAGGACGGUACUCUCAGAAUAAGUCUCGGCUAACUACGUGCCAGCAGCCGCGGUAACACGUAGGAGGCGAACGUUAUCCGGAUUUACUGGGCGUAAAGCGCGUGUAGGUGGUUUGGUAAGUAGGGCGUGAAAGCUCCCGGCUCAACUGGGAGAGGCCGUUCUAAACUGCCAAGCUAGAGAAUGGUAGAGGGAGGUGGAAUUCCGGGUGCAGCGGUGGAAUGCGCAGAUAUCCGGAGGAACACCAGUGGCGAAGGCGGCCUCCUGGGCCACUCCUGACACUCAGACGCGAAAGCUAGGGUAGCAAACGG
rnacentral:rRNA from 1 species